GUGCUGUUCUUAACUCUAAUAGCUCCACCCGUUCGAUUAAUAAUUUGCUGUUCUUUAAGCAAGCUUGCCUUGUCUUGAGGCCUCGUGAUCUAAAUUCAGUAGAACUACUGUAGAGACCAAUAGGCUUCUCUGAUACUGAUAUGCUUCUCACGAACUCAGGAGGACACUGGAAUGUGCAUCAUUUCUGGCAUACGGUUACUGAGCUUAAGUGUGUAUAGACCUCAGUGUACGGUAUGUGUGCAACCUUGUUCUCCACACUUCUCCCGAUGUGUGCACUUGUCAUGCACACUCCCUGUGAUGAUGCGAGUGCACACUUAGGGAGAAGUGUUGUGGAGAACUGGGAAGCAAGGUAUGUGUUUGAGUGUUGAAUUUACACCAAAAAUUGGCUACUGUAUGUGUGCUUAGUCCAGUGGGAGAGACCUGUGUAGUGGGCUGGGCAGUGCUGUGAUUUUCUCUGCCGCGUUGGUGACUGUGGUUCGGCUAAGUGUCUUGUAAUGGUUCCUUACCUGUGAACAGCUGCUCCCUGCGCUUUGCCUGUGAGAUGGAACAACCCCCGGAACUGAUGGACUAACACAAGCCUCCAUUUAACCUCCCCCAAUUCUAACGUCAUCCUGACCAGACUGCAGUGGCUGUGGCCAAGUGGAACCUACCUUCUGCACCCUUGCUGCCACUGUGACCGCCUGGGAGAAAGACCCACACCUACCCACUGCCAGUCCCCUAGCCCGACUUGGUGACGGUGUUCCUGGGAUAAUAGGUGGCCACAUCCCCUAGCCGUCAUCCACUCACACACACUCUCUGUGUCCUUCUCUUGCAGUCUCCUGACGUGGUCGAUGACAUUCAAUUCAUUGACGAUGGCUCCAGUAACCCAGUGCAUGCUGCGGAUCCCAGGACUGAGGUGCCCACUGCCACCUCAGCACUGGAGAUGGCCCUCUACAGCAACACGCGCCAGCUGAGGCAGGGCUGCCGCAGCCUGGAGACCGCCGUGCCCACAUAACGCAUCAAACACAUCUACCACAAGAGACAUACAUACACAGAGGAGGCACCGGGUCACUACACACACACUCACAGGUUUGGGAGAUGCGUCCCAUGUAACCACUGCAGAGACCAUGAUGCUGAUAGUCAACACACACAAUGUCAUAUCUUGCCUUUACAGUCUGAGGAUGUGUUGGCCUGAACAUGAGGCCCAACGUUCCUGAGGCUGGUGAGGGGAGCUAGCAUUACGCUUCAGAAAUACCAUUCUCUUUUUUAUUUGUGUUCUUUUUCUUCAGUUUACGUUUUAGUAGCUGAAUUAUAUUAACAGGUGACUUAUGUUUUUACUUUUGACCCUCUGAUUUUUGCUGUUUUAAAUGAAAAAUGUGUUAUGGAAGAGAAAGAAAAAAUAUGAAUUGUGUAGAUGUAAUACUAAUUUUUCAGAUGCUAUUUUUGAGGUUUUCAAUGAAUAUAUUGUGAAAUGUCAGGGUUUUUAGCGGGCUUCGGGGGGCGUGUAUAUAUUGGGAACAUACUGCUACCUUCACUGCCACAUUUUAAACACUACAUACAUAUCUCAACUGCACUACCACACUACUUAGAAAACAACAUGUUUAUUUUUAAAUAAUUUAUUUUGCUUGUAUUUUAUUACUCGAUUCUAAAGCCUCCCCUGUAAUACAUUGUUACCCCCUGUACUUUCGAGUGCAACAAAACAAUGCAUAUCAUUUUAUUUAUCAUAAUGACAUCAAUGCAUAUCAUGAUAUCAUUUUAAUUCAAAUGUACAUCUUAUGAGGCAAGCACAUGUUUAAUCCAUAUCACCAAGGUAUUUUCUUUUACAAUGAAUACAUUUGUUUUCACUCUGAUGCACAGGCCAUAACCAGGUUCUGACUGGUACAUUACAAGGAACAUGCUGUCACAGACUUGUAGGAUACUGAUCCCAGUACAGUUGUUUGAUCUCGGUGGAUCAGAGUAAAGGAUCUCUAGCUUUCCUGGACCAGGUUUAUCAAAUUCUGUCCCAUUCCUAUUCUCGAGAAUGUAACUAUACUGGAGAGACCAGCAGAGACACCCACACACACAUGGACAGAUAAGCCACUAGUCUUUAUUCAAAAUGGCUGUACAUUUAGGAACAUAAUACGGUACUUUCCCUGCCCUUUUGGUGGAAAUCAUUUGUCAAUGUGAAUCUCACUCCUAUCUGGAUGGUUUUCCAGAUUUUACCGGUGAAGGUAGCAGGUGUUUUGCUUUUUUUUAUCUGCCUUUGAUUAAUUUAAAUCUGACACCCACUGAAAAUCCUUUAUUGUUGUGUGAAUAAUGUACAAAAUACUGAAUGGAAAGCUAAAUGUACGGUUGAAAUUGAGCCAGUCUACCAAGCCAAGACCAAGCAAGUGUCUGGACUGGGGAGCUCUCUCCCUACCUCUCUCUCUGCAUGUACAAUAUAUUGGCUUUAUUGGGAGAACCUAUAGAGGCAGAAGACAUUUUGUUAAUCCCUUUUGAAAUGGAUCUCAUUCGACCAUCAUUCUCAUUCUCUUUCCUCUGCUUUACCUGCUGCUGUCAUGGAUGUUCUCUGAUGACAGCUUUGUUUUUGGAGAGUCAUGAUAGAAGCACUCGUGUUUAAUUUAAUGUACUAAUCAUAUCUUUCUGCGUUGCUUUCGCUGACUGAAAUUCAGUUAGGAUGAUAACAUUUGCGAUUGUUUGACUUAAAUAAAUAAAAAUUUACUGUAGUGGGUAAAACUUUCCAGACAAAAUGGGAUUCACAACAUUUUUUUAUGCCAAACAACUGUUGGAACAUCCUUUUGGUUACACUCUUCUCUUGAAUUAUUUUGGGGGACUAUUUUUCCCAAAUGAGUCAGAGGGAAAGGGUAGAAGUGCUGGGGUCAAGGCUCAUCCAAAACUGUAACUAGUGAAUUUGUACAACCAAAGAGGUCUAUUUUGUGGUUCACGAAUAAAAAAAGUGUACUUUUCAUUGAACAAGCUGA